GCACUCCUACGGGACGCAGCAGUAGGGAAUCUUCCACAAUGGGCGAAAGCCUGAUGGAGCAACGCCGCGUGGGUGAAGAAGGUCUUCGGAUCGUAAAACCCUAUUGUUAGAAAAGAAAGUGCGUGAGAGUAACUGUUCACGUUUCGACGGUAUCUAACCAAAAAGCCACGGCUAACUACGUGCCAGCAGCCGCGGUAAUACGUAGGUGGCAAGCGUUAUCCGGAUUUAUUGGGCGUAAAGGGAACGCAGGCGGUCUUUUAAGUCUGAUGUGAAAGCCUUCGGCUUAACCGGAGUAGUGCAUUGGG
rnacentral:rRNA from 1 species